AGAGUUUGAUCAUGGCUCAGGAUGAACGCUGGCGGCGUGUCUAAGGCAUGCAAGUCGAAUGGGUUUAGACCCAUGGCAAACGGGUGCGUAACACAUUGGUAACCUACCUCAAAGAUUGGAAUAACCCGGAGAAAUUCGGAAUAAAUCCAAAUGUGCUUAACAAUCUUAAGUUAGUUAAGUAAAGAUUUAUCGCUUUGAGAGGGGCCUAUGGCUUAUCAGCUUGUUGGUGAGAUAACAGCUCACCAAGGCUAUGACGAGUAGCGGGCGUAAGAGCGCGACCCGCCUCACUGGGACUGAGACACUGCCCAGACUCCUACGGGAGGCUGCAGUCAAGAAUCUUCCCCAAUGCACGAAAGUGUGAGGGAGCGACGCCGCGUGAUUGAAGAAGCCCUUCGGGGUGUAAAAAUCUUUUCUUAGGGAAGAACCUAUGACGGUACCUAAGGAAUAAGGGGCUGCUAAACUCGUGCCAGCAGCAGCGGUAAUACGAGUGCCCCAAGCGUUAUCCGGAUUUAUUGGGCGUAAAGAGUUCGUAGCCGUCCUAAAAAGUUUUUUGUCAAAUCCCAGUGCUCAACAUUGGGACUGCGGAAAAAACUUCUAAAAUAGAGGAUGGGAGAGGCAGAUGGAAUUGUCGGUGUAACGGUCAAAUGUGUUAAUAUCGACAAGAACACCAAAUGCGAAGGCAUCUUGCUGGAACAGUUCUGACGGUGAGGAACGAAAGCGUGGGUAGCGAAUGGGAUUAGAUACCCCAGUAGUCCACGCCGUAAACGAUGGAUGCUAGGCAUUGGUAGUUUCGACCCUAUCAGUGUCGUUCAAACAAGGUAACCCCUUAAGCAUCCCGCCUGGGAAGUACGGUCGCAAGACUAAAACUCAAAGGAAUUGACGGG
rnacentral:rRNA from 1 species